rnacentral:tRNA from 1 species
CAUUAGAUGACUGAAAGCAAGUACUGGUCUCUUAAACCACAUUAUGGUAAUUUAGCACUUACCUCUAAUGA